CCCUGAUACAUCACAAGUCUUCUUCACUGUCCUUCAAGUAAUUCUAAUGACAACAGAUCACUCUUAACCACAGUAUGUGUCUCUGCUUAAUCAGAUAAGGUCUGCUUACAUACAUCAACAUUUUCACUGACUCAAACAAGAUGAAAAACAACUGUGAGACAGCAGAUAGGAGAAAGUGAGGAAAGUUACAUUGGAAGAUCUCCUCCAAAGAAGAGAUUUUAUCAGAUUUACAGGAAGAAAAAGAGCAAUAUAUCAUGGAGUGAUGGAAGAAAGAAAGGGAAGCAAAAUACAGAUGCAGAGUAUAGCUAACUGGUGAU
rnacentral:lncRNA from 1 species